AGGAGGAACAGCCCCAGUGGUGGGGCCAACUCUGGAGCCCUGGAGUCAGACCCCGCAGUAACUAUGGAGCUCUCGGUCUGCAGGGCCUGGAGGCUCCGGGGCGGG
rnacentral:pre_miRNA from 1 species